GGGUUGUGAGGUUAAGCGACUAAGCGUACACGGUGGAUGCCCUGGCAGUCAGAGGCGAUGAAGGACGUGCUAAUCUGCGAUAAGCGUCGGUAAGGUGAUAUGAACCGUUAUAACCGGCGAUUUCCGAAUGGGGAAACCCAGUGUGUUUCGACACACUAUCAUUACGUGAAUACAUAGCGUAAUGAAGCGAACCGGGGGAACUGAAACAUCUAAGUACCCCGAGGAAAAGAAAUCAACCGAGAUUCCCCCAGUAGCGGCGAGCGAACGGGGAGCAGCCCAGAGUCUGAAUCAGCAUGUGUGUUAGUGGAAGCGUCUGGAAAGUCGCACGAUACAGGGUGAAAGUCCCGUACACAAAAGUGCAUGUGUUGUGAACUCGAAGAGUAGGGCGGGACACGUGGUAUCCUGUCUGAAUAUGGGGGGACCAUCCUCCAAGGCUAAAUACUCCUGACUGACCGAUAGUGAACCAGUACCGUGAGGGAAAGGCGAAAAGAACCCCGGCGAGGGGAGUGAAAAAGAACCUGAAACCGUGUACGUACAAGCAGUGGGAGCACCCUU
rnacentral:rRNA from 2 species